AUAAAAAAUAUACAAUACCGAACGGGUCCAGCACGAGCGCGAUCUGUGUUGUUAGAAUGGUUUUUUUGUCGUUGAAUAAUGCCACUCUCCGAGAAAAAAUUGGAAAACUGAAAAAACUCACUUGAGCGCGAUCACUCUGAUAUCCGCUUAACACCAGUACCCACAAGUAGGUUCUAGAUCCGGUUCAGCUUCACCAGACACAUAAUCAAACUGUACUAUUGAAAAUUAUUUAAUAUUAUAAAUCAUUUUUAAAACAUAAUAGUUAUGAUUAAUAUUUUCAGUUUUUGACUUUUGUUGAUAUUUGUAAUUUUUUUCAUAACAAACGACAGUUAUAAUGUGAUCAUAAAAUCGUUCAUAUUUGAAAAUGAUUGCAUAGCUAAGAUACACUUUCUUGUAGGUACUCAGCAGUCAGUAAACAUAUUUUCUAUUAUAUACACGUA